UGCUUCUCCGUCUUCCCGCUCUACUAAAACACAAAAAUAUUUCGAAGAUAAAAUAUAAAUCAAUCCAACUUGUUUCUGAAAAAAACAAUAAAAAAAAACACAUUGAUUUUGGAUACAACAUUUCAAUUAAUUGAAGAUGGCAAAUUCGUCAAUGCCUAUUGAGCGUCUUCAAGCCCUUGAUAAUGUUGAAAAAGAAAUCGCGAGUUGCAUUCAGAGUGCUGGACAAGCUCUUACAGAACUGAGUAAAGAUAAAGCAAGCAUGAAACAAGUAGAAAGUCACACUUCACAAUUUUUGAAAACUCUCAAUCAUGUUGAAGGAGAGUUAUCAAAACAUAUUAAUUACUUGACACAGGUCUCAACAGGACAACCUCAUGAAGGCUCAGCUUAUGGCUCAGUGAAAAUGUAUAAAACUGCUCGGCAUAGGUUGGAGCACACUCGCUCAAGACUUCAAGAUCUAGAAAAUCUGAAAAAUAGAGCGUUGGCAUCCACAGUUAGGCCAGCAUCAGCACAAAACAAUCCAUGACUGUUGUCAUAUUUUGCACCAUGGAUAUUGUACUGUUUCCAUUUGAAUAUGUAACUUUUCAUAAAUAGAUGCGGCGACCUGAUGCCAAACGGGGGGGGAAAAUCAACCAACAAAAACAGCAAGGAAUUAUUCAGUACCCUAGGUCACCAAAUGAGACAUAGAUGUCGUUCGCUGAAAGCUUCCUUCGCGGCGUUUUCAAGGGAGUUCCGUUG